rnacentral:sRNA from 1 species
AGCCCCUCCUGCCACACGGAUUCUGGCAUAAGCCGGCGGGCACAGGGGACAGCCAGGGAUGGCUGGACACAGCCGAGGAUGGCCAGGAUGGCCGAGGCCGGCCUGCAGCUCCUCAGCGGCCUCCUCCAGGUCAGGAUGAGAGGAGAGGUUGCCGGCUUUGAUGCCAGCCGCUCCUGCCUCCCCCACCUGCCUCUGUGCCUACAGCCUGCUUCUGCCUCAAGAUUACACAGCGGGCUUGUGAGGCCAGGGGUCUCCGCCGCUGCUCAAGGAGAUGGCAAAGGUCUGUCUCAGUGAUCGCAAGUUGCCCUGGAGCCCUCUGAACCUUCUGAGUCGCCCUCGCUGCUGCAGGACCUCCUCCCACGGGGUGUCCGACCCACUCUUGCUUGGCUGAGGCUUUGUUUAAACCCUGGCUCCAAUGCCCCUGAGCCCUUGAUAGCAGCGUCCCAGCCUGGAAGAACUAAACCAGCCACUCUUCCCCUUGGCAAAGGCACAGCAAGGCGGGGGACACCGUGGUGUUUAAGGAUGGCCAGUACUGGAUCCGAGGCCGGACCUCAGUGGACAUCAUCAAGACUGGAGGCUACAAGGUCAGCGCCCUGGAGGUGGAGUGGCACCUGCUGGCCCACCCCAGUAUCACAGAUGUGGCUGUGAUUGGAGUUCCGGAUAUGACAUGGGGCCAGCGGGUCACUGCUGUGGUGACCCUCCGAGAAGGACACUCACUGUCCCACAGGGAGCUCAAAGAGUGGGCCAGAGAUGUCCUGGCCCCGUACGCGGUGCCCUCGGAGCUGGUGCUGGUGGAGGAGAUCCCGCGGAACCAGAUGGGCAAGAUUGACAAGAAGGCGCUCAUCAGGCACUUCCACCCCUCAUGACCCGGCAGACUGGGACUGCAGUUCUGGUGGGGAGCAGCAGACGUCCCCUUCACACCGAGAACCGCGGGGGCCCAUCCAAGACCUGGCCUCCCUUAAACCUGAACCCCCCAAAUCAGGUCACGUAGAAUCAAGAACUGUUUGGGAUGAAAUCACCAUGUGGUGUCCCCAGCCUCGGGCCAGUUGUUGCAGCUCAAGGAGACCGUCCCUGGUGUCACCUCUGUGUGGUCACCGCCGACCUCAUCUGUGCAGCACAGUGCAGCCAGCCCCUGGCCCCACGUGCUGAGGCACCUCCCACCCCAUAGUGCCCUGCAGUUGCCAGGCUCUCCAGGGCAGGUCCCGGAGGUGUCCCGCAAAAAACAAAGACUCCACUGGAGGAAACAAGCCCCUGUCCCACGCUGUCUGCACGUGCCUGUGCCUCACCCAGAGCCAGUGUCUCCCGGCCCACUUAGGAGGUCUGGGCAGCCACCCAGGGGGCCCUCCUGGGAGGAGCUGAGGGUUCACAAGCCUCCCAGAACCAGCCCUGUCCCAUGGGUUCCGGGCAUUUCCUGGUGCCGCUCUUGGAGGAGAGCAGCUCCCGCUGUGGGGACACCUGCCACCCUGCACACUACUGUGUGUCUAUCAGCAUGUGUCACAGAAGGUGCGUGGACGGACAGCCCCGGAGCUGCUCUGCCGUGACCCUGCCUCACCCCCCAGCACAGGGACCUUCCAGGUCAUCUCCACACCAGCCCCUCAGCCGGUGAACCCUCUCUCCCAUCACCGUCUCCACCCAGACCUCCACCUGCCCCAUGGCCCCCAUGUCAUGUCUGUGGCUCACCAGCUUUUCCCCAGACCCAGCUCCGGAGCCCACAGGCGUGGCCGAUGCAGAAACCUCAGGAAGGUGUGUUGUGAAUGUUGGGUGCACCUACGUUGCAUUUACUUAGCGGGGCCAAUUCAGAUGCACAGGGGCCACAUGCAGAAUCCAGAAGUUUCUGGACAAUUUUCAGAAGAAUAGGCUGCCUCCUCCCUACAGCCUGGGGGAAGUAACAGUCAUCGCCCAGCAGUGUCUGGCCUGAACUUACCCAGAACAUUCUGCCCCCGGAAUGCACGUCUGAAAGAGUGGCCAGAAACGAGUGUGCCGGGCAGGAGGCCAGCCCCAUCUCAGGCUCACGUGCCUCUGGCAGGAGACCAGCCCCAUCUCAGGCUCACAUGCCUCGCGGACACUUGGACGUGGCCUGGGGCCCCUGCUCACUUAAGCAUGUCGCCCACCAAGCUUGUCUGAGGCCACAGAGCAGCGUCCCAGCCCUGUUUUCCAGGACGGGUGGGUGCCCCAGUCCACGGCCCUGCCCCACCCGAACUCCUGCCUCACGGUGUGGCCUUCUGCAUCCCCAUGGCCUGACCCCGGGAACAGUCAGAGGAAGGGGUCCCGCCCUCCCGCCAGAGGCCUGGACCCAAGGGAACGGCAGUCAGAGACUACAGUCCAGACGUUUGUGUCUAGGCCUUGCUAGUAGCUAAGGAAAUGCCUUCUGUUGGGAAAAGGUCAAAUUUAACAUAGCAAAAUUUUUACUUAAUUCCACUAAUUUUACAUUUGCAUCUCUCUCCUUUAAUCCUGAAACUUUUGAUUCCUAAAAAGCUUACAUAAUCAUUUGCUUUAUCCGAUAGU